CUGCAUUUUUUCUUACACAUGUGUUUUUCUUUUUUUGAAAACUUUGCUUUGGUAGGGGCAUGUGGGGCCUGCCAGAGAUUAAACUCAACCAAAUUUUAAUUAAUGUCAACCGAUUAUUUAAUAGUCAAAACUUUCAACAACGGAUCUCUUGGUUCUCGCAUCGAUGAAGAACGCAGCGAAAUGCGAUAAGUAAUAUGAAUUGCAGAUAUUCGUGAAUCAUCGAAUCUUUGAACGCACAUUGCGCCCUUUGGUAUUCCAAAGGGCAUGCCUGUUUGAGCGUCAUUUCUCCCUCAAACCCUCGGGUUUGGUGUUGAGCGAUACGCUGGGUUUGCUUGAAAGAAAGGCGGAGUAUAAACUAAUGGAUAGGUUUUUUCCACUCAUUGGUACAAACUCCAAAACUUCUUCCAAAUUCGACCUCAAAUCAGGUAGGACUACCCGCUGAACUUAAGCAUAUCAAUAAGCGGAGG
rnacentral:rRNA from 1 species